UUUGAGUAUUUGUUUAUACAUAACAAUGCAUAUAUUAAAAGCUCGAUUUUAAUCAUUUUGGUUGGAAUUGGGCGGCGGCCAGACAACCGUAGAGAUGGUUUCCACAGAUAAAUAAUUUCCACCAUUUAUUUGUCUACUAAUAUCCAUCUCACAAUA